GACGAACCGUGCGAACGUUGUUCGGAAUCACUGGGCUUAAAGGGCGCGUAGGCGGCUUGCCAAGUCAGUGGUGAAAUCCCGCAGCUUAACUGCGGAAGUGCCUUUGAUACUGGCGAGCUCGAGGGAGGUAGGGGUUUGUGGAACUUCUGGUGGAGCGGUGAAAUGCGUUGAUAUCAGAAGGAACGCCGGUGGCGAAAGCGACGAACUGGACCUCUUCUGACGCUGAGGCGCGAAAGCUAGGGGAGCAAACGGG
rnacentral:rRNA from 1 species